AGGCCUUCGGGUCGUAAAGUUCUGUUGUUAGAGAAGAACAAGUACGAGAGUAACUGCUCGUACCUUGACGGUACCUAACCAGAAAGCCACGGCUAACUACGUGCCAGCAGCCGCGGUAAUACGUAGGUGGCAAGCGUUGUCCGGAAUUAUUGGGCGUAAAGCGCGCGCAGGCGGUUCCUUAAGUCUGAUGUGAAAGCCCACGGCUCAACCGUGGAGGGUCAUUGGAAACUGGGGAACUUGAGUGCAGAAGAGGAGAGCGGAAUUCCACGUGUAGCGGUGAAAUGCGUAGAGAUGUGGAGGAACACCAGUGGCGAAGGCGGCUCUCUGGUCUGUAACUGACGCUGAGGCGCGAAAGCGUGGGGAGCAAACAGGAUUAGAUACCCUGGUAGUCCACGCCGUAAACGAUGAGUGCUAAGUGUUAGGGGGUUUCCGCCCCUUAGUGCUGCAGCUAACGCAUUAAGCACUCCGCCUGGGGAGUACGGCCGCAAGGCUGAAACUCAAAGGAAUUGACGGGGGCCCGCACAAGCGGUGGAGCAUGUGGGUUAAUUCGAAGCAACGCGAAGAACCUUACCAGCUCUUGACAUCCUCUGACAACCCUAGAGAUAGGGCGUUCCCCUUCGGGGGACAGAGUGACAGGUGGUGCAUGGUUGUCGUCAGCUCGUGUCGUGAGAUGUUGGGUUAAGUCCCGCAACGAGCGCAACCCUUGAUCUUAGUUGCCAU
rnacentral:rRNA from 1 species